rnacentral:rRNA from 1 species
AAUGAACGCUGGCGGCAUGCCUUACACAUGCAAGUCGAACGGCAGCAUGACCUAGCUUGCUAGGUUGAUGGCGAGUGGCGAACGGGUGAGUAAUGCAUCGGAACGUGCCUUUUAGUGGGGGAUAACGUAGCGAAAGUUACGCUAAUACCGCAUAUUCUCUGAGGAGGAAAGCAGGGGACCUUCGGGCCUUGCGCUAGAAGAGCGGCCGAUGUCGGAUUAGCUAGUUGGUGAGGUAAAGGCUCACCAAGGCAACGAUCCGUAGCGGGUCUGAGAGGAUGGUCCGCCACACUGGGACUGAGACACGGCCCAGACUCCUACGGGAGGCAGCAGUGGGGAAUUUUGGACAAUGGGCGCAAGCCUGAUCCAGCCAUGCCGCGUGAGUGAAGAAGGCCUUCGGGUUGUAAAGCUCUUUCGGCUGGGAAGAAAUCGCACCCUCUAAUACAGGGUGUGGAUGACGGUACCAGCAUAAGAAGCACCGGCUAACUACGUG